CGACGUCUAGAUAGGACUCCGAGUCGACGUUGGCUUCGAGGUACUCGACUCCAUUCCGAGCUCGCGAUGGGGGAGGCAGAUCGAGUCUUCAGAUCCCGUACGCGCUCGCCGCCGCCGCCACAAUUCCUCCCGCGCGCCAGGCCACUCCCGCGCGAGCCAUCUCCUGCGUGAUGCUUCCCCGCCAAAUCGCUGCGCACGCGAGCUCCUGCGGAAGCCAACUUCCCCGCCAAAUCGCUGCCGCUGCCUCCAUCUCACAAACGGGAAUACAAAUCGAGCACCUCCAGACUCCACACCACACCAGCAGGGAAUGGCUAGGAACGGAGAAGAGGACGUCCGGUGAUCUCUGUGCCAGGUUCGUCAGCCAGCUAUACAAAGGGAUCCCAGGAUGAACAGAUUAAAGAAGUCUAGUUUCCGGCGAGGCAGUGGUGGCCGUGGAACCCGACCUCCGUCUGUCCAUGGUCCUAUGACCUUUGUUCCGGCUGUAGGUGCAUCUGCAACUCAGAGCCAUGCCACUGACGGUGCUGCUGCAGUAGGUGUUGCUGUUCCUGUCAAUACUCCUGCAGUCAGUGCUUCUCCCUUUGGUGGAUGGUGGCCAAUGUCAGCUCCUAGCGAAGGGUAAGUCAUCAGAGCUUGGUUCUAUGGAUUACAGAUUGUUUUUGUGAAUAUCAUUGAUAUACAAUUUAGUCACAACUUCUUUGUUAACAUGAUGAAUUGCGUAGAUGCCAUCUAUGAACAUAUAUGUGCAGAAUCAAAUGUUAAGUGUAUGGUGGAUCACACAGUGAUAUGCCACAACAGAUCAGUUUGUUUUGUGCUGCAUAAUAAAUGUUUUUACGGGUAGAA